AUAUCAAUAAGCGGAGGAAAAGAAACCAACAGGGAUUGCCUUAGUAACGGCGAGUGAAGCGGCAAAAGCUCAAAUUUGAAAUCUAGCACUUUCAGUGUUCGAGUUGUAAUUUGAAGAAGGUAACUUUGGAAUUGGCUCUUGUCUAUGUUCCUUGGAACAGGACGUCACAGAGGGUGAGAAUCCCGUGCGAUGAGAUGUCCAAUUCUAUGUAAAGUGCUUUCGAAGAGUCGAGUUGUUUGGGAAUGCAGCUCUAAGUGGGUGGUAAAUUCCAUCUAAAGCUAAAUAUUGGCGAGAGACCGAUAGCGAACAAGUACAGUGAUGGAAAGAUGAAAAGAACUUUGAAAAGAGAGUGAAAAAGUACGUGAAAUUGUUGAAAGGGAAGGGCUUGAGAUCAGACUUGGUAUUUUGUGUUCCUUAUCCUUCUUGGAUUAGGUUCCUCACAGCUUACCGGGCCAGCAUCGGUUUGGAUGGCAGGAUAAUGACAUUGGAAUGUAGCUUUGCUUCGGUGAAGUGUUAUAGACUUUGUUGAUACUGCCUAUCUAGACCGAGGACUGCGUCUUUGACUAGGAUGCUGGCGUAA
rnacentral:rRNA from 1 species